CCUACGGGAGGCAGCAGUUGGGAAUAUUGCACAAUGGGGGAAACCCUGAUGCAGCGACGCCGCGUGAGUGAAGAAGUAUUUCGGUACGUAAAGCUCUAUCAGCAGGGAAGAAAAUGACGGUACCUGACUAAGAUGCCCCGGCUAACUACGUGACAGCAGCCGCGGUAAUACGUUGGGGGCAAGCGUUAUCCGGAUUUCCUGGGUCUAAAGGGAGCGUAGACGGCAGUGCAAGUCUGGAGUGAAAUCCCAUGGCUUAACCAUGGAACUGCUUUGGAAACUGUGCAGCUAGAGUGCAGGAGAGGUAAGCGGAAUGCCUAGUGUAGCGGUGAAAUGCGUAGAUAUUAGGAGGAACACCAGUGGCGAAGGCGGCUUACUGGACUGUAACUGACGUUGAGGCUCGAAAGCGUGGGGAGCAAACAGGAUUAGAUACCCGAGUAGUC
rnacentral:rRNA from 1 species